rnacentral:lncRNA from 13 species
GCUCUUCCUACUCCUUACUCAUGUGAUAUGACAUCACUGCAUGGUUACCACAGAAACCAGGGCUCAGUUCAGACGGUUGACAGCCAGUCAGGGAACUGAACCCUCCAGAGGAGAUGGAUCUCUCCCUCUCCCCCUGGCUGAGGCCUGCCAUACUGAUGAAUGGCCUCUGUUUAACAGCACAUCUGCUUCUAGAGCAGCCAGCCACAACGCUGGGUGCAUGACUCCUCCAAAGGUGUUUUUCACAGGGAUGGCUGCACAAGUGGAGGUACAGACUGGGGAGGUGGGAAGGACAGGUGUAGGGGGGCGACUGCACCUCAGCCCUCUGGCUGACUCCAGCAACAAGAGCCUAACAGAGGGCCCAUCCAACACCCAGGGCUCCCUCAUCAUCACUCCAGAGUCCAGUAAGCCUGUCCCUGCACCCAAACCACGGCUCACUCCCAAACCUUUCGCUGUGGAGAAAACCCCCACCAUCCGGCCCAUACUUGCUCCUAAGCCUAAUACCAAGCCCCGACCAGAGCCCACUCGCCCUACUUUUUACAAACCUGACCCUCCCAAUGGCCCAAAACCUCAGCAGCCGAACGUUACCAGCAAACACAGGCCAGUGUCGACCAACCACAGCCGUCCUGCUCCUACCUCCUACAAACCCUCUCCCAAGUUGAGCACGGGACAAACCACCAAGCCUGUAGCCCAGCCCUUCAAACCCGCCCCUCUAACACUUGGGGACCACAGCAAACCAACUCCUUCCCAACCGAUGGGGCGUCAGAAGCCAGCUGCGGCAGGCUUGUCCCACUCACAAGGCCCUAAGAAACCCCCUUCAGUGGAAUGGUCCGGAUCCACCAAGCAGGAGAAGGAAUGUGGCAAAACAGCAUCCAAUAUCAGAGCUGGAGGAGCCUAUUUGACCAGAGCCAAGUCAAUGGGCUUCCUCCGUCAGAUAGGGCUAGAGGGGGAGGAGAGGAAGAAGGAUGAAGGGCCAGAGGUCACAGUUCAACUCCGAACCCAGUCUACAGGCUCCAGGCCUAGACCUGUGUCGGCUAUCUUCCUACCCUCUCCCACUCAGGCUGAGUCGUCCACCCCAGCUGAUCGCUGGGUUGGGAGACGGCCCCUUUCAGCCGACCUCACCUCCAGGUUUGAGUCCAUUGGCCUGUCUCUGCACCGCGGCUCUCCUGCCAAGACUGGCAGCAAGGAAAACAGUCCAGAGGAGGGAGCACUGCUACGGAGGAGAGAGGGGGAGACGGGAGCAGAGGGGACCAUUGCUACACCACAGGCCCCAGUCAGCAAGCCUUCAGCCCUAGCACAAGGGAGUGAGAAGAAAAAAGAGGAAGAGAAGGAUGAGGGAAAGGGUGGAGGAAGCAUUAAGAGACGGAUCAGUCUCUUGCUCGAUUCUUCUUCUUCCCCUCCUGUGGUUCCUCUCCGUGUUGCUGCCCAAGGACCGGAGUCUUCCUCUCCAGUGCAGCCAGUCCCAGAGGCAGAUGCACCACAGGGUGGUGUUAAACAGCGAAUCAAGAAGCUAACAGAAGAUACUGUUACGCCACCUGCUCAGACCCUGGCUGUUAAACCCCGACCUCUGCCCCCUGACCUGACCAAAAGGUAGGAGCUCCUCACCACCUUCAGUCUGCCUGUCUCUGUCAUGUUUAUGACUCUCCCAUU